rnacentral:rRNA from 1 species
CCUACGGGAGGCAGCAGUGAGGAAUAUUGGUCAAUGGCCGUAAGGCUGAACCAGCCAAGUCGCGUGAAGGAAGAAGGAUCUAUGGUUUGUAAACUUCUUUUAUAGGGGAAUAAAGGUAUCCACGUGUGGAUAUUUGCAUGUACCCUAUGAAUAAGCAUCGGCUAACUCCGUGCCAGCAGCCGCGGUAAUACGGAGGAUGCGAGCGUUAUCCGGAUUUAUCGGGUUUAAAGGGUGCGUAGGUUGUUUUUUAAGUCAGCGGUGAAAGUUUGUGGCUCAACCAUAAAAUUGCCGUUGAAACUGGAAGACUUGAGUGUGUUUGAGGUAGGCGGGAUGCGUGGUGUAGCGGUGAAAUGCAUAGAUAUCACGCAGAACUCCGAUUGCGAAGGCAGCUUACUAAGCCAUAACUGACACUGAAGCACGAAAGCGUGGGGAUCAAACAGGAUUAGAUACCCCAGUAGUC